CCCUCAGUAGCUCAGUGGUAGAGCGGUCAGCUGUUAACUGACUGGUCGUAGGUUCGAGACCUGCCUGGGGAG
rnacentral:tRNA from 1 species